UUAAUUGAAGAGUUUGAUCAUGGCUCAGAUUGAACGCUGGCGGCAGGCCUAACACAUGCAAGUCGAGCGGCAGCGACUUAACUGAACCUUCGGGGAACGUUAAGGGCGGCGAGCGGCGGACGGGUGAGUAAUGCCUGGGAAUAUGCCCUGAUGUGGGGGAUAACUAUUGGAAACGAUAGCUAAUACCGCAUAAUCUCUUCGGAGCAAAGAGGGGGACCUUCGGGCCUCUCGCGUCAGGAUUAGCCCAGGUGGGAUUAGCUUGUUGGUGAGGUAAUGGCUCACCAAGGCAACGAUCCCUAGCUGGUCUGAGAGGAUGAUCAGCCACACUGGAACUGAGACACGGUCCAGACUCCUACGGGAGGCAGCAGUGGGGAAUAU
rnacentral:rRNA from 1 species